rnacentral:rRNA from 1 species
CCUACGGGUGGCAGCAGUAGGGAAUAUUGCUCAAUGGGGGAAACCCUGAUGCAGCGACGCCGCGUGGGGGAUGAAGGUUUUAGGAUUGUAAACUCCUUUUGGUAGAGAAGAUUAUGACGGUAUCUAACGAAUAAGCCCCGGCUAACUCCGUGCCAGCAGCCGCGGUAAUACGGAGGGUGCAAGCGUUACCCGGAAUUACUGGGCGUAAAGGGUGCGUAGGCGGGGGCAUAAGUCAGAUGUGAAAUCCUGUAGCUUAACUACAGAACUGCAUUUGAAACUGUGACUCUGGAGUGUGGGAGAGGUAGGUGGAAUUCGUGGUGUAGCGGUAAAAUCCGUAGAGAUCAAGAGGAAUACUCAUUGCGAAGGCGACCUGCUGGAACAUUACUGACGCUGAUGCACGAAAGCGUGGGGAGCAAACAGGAUUAGAUACCCCAGUAGUC